rnacentral:rRNA from 1 species
CCUACGGGGGUCAGCAGUGGGGAAUAUUGGGCAAUGGGCGCAAGCCUGACCCAGCAAUGCCGCGUGAAGGAAGAAGGCUUUCGGGUUGUAAACUUCUUUGACAGGGGAAGAGCAGAAGACGGUACCCUGCAAGAAAGCUCCGGCUAACUACGUGCCAGCAGCCGCGGUAAUACGUAGGGAGCAAGCGUUGUCCGGAAUUACUGGGUGUAAAGGGAGCGUAGGCGGGAGGAUAAGUUGAAUGUGAAAUCUAUGGGCUCAACCCAUAGCUGCGUUCAAAACUGUUCUUCUUGAGUGAAGGAGAGGCAGGCGGAAUUCCUAGUGUAGCGGUGAAAUGCGUAGAUAUUAGGAGGAACACCAGUGGCGAAGGCGGCCUGCUGGGCUGUUACUGACGCUGAGGCUCGAAAGCGUGGGUAGCAAACAGGAUUAGAUACCCGUGUAGUC